GCCUUCGUGGUGUAGUAGUCAGCACUCCGGGCUCAUAUUCCAGAGGUCCGUGGUUCGAGUCCCUGCGAAAGUG
rnacentral:tRNA from 1 species